GGGUUGUGAGGUUAAGCGACUAAGCGUACACGGUGGAUGCCCUGGCAGUCAGAGGCGAUGAAGGACGUGCUAAUCUGCGAAAAGCGUCGGUAAGGUGAUAUGAACCGUUAUAGCCGGCGAUGUCCGAAUGGGGAAACCCAGUGUGAUUCGUCACACUAUCGUUAACUGAAUACAUAGGUUAACGAGGCGAACCGGGGGAACUGAAACAUCUAAGUACCCCGAGGAAAAGAAAUCAACC
rnacentral:rRNA from 2 species